ACGUGCCAUUCUUCCCCACUCGUCCCUUUCCGCAGCCAAGUCUAUUCGGUUGCUCCGAAUAGACACGAGUUGAACACGCCGAUGUGAGUGAGAACGAGCAUGUGCGUUAUUCAUGUGGCCAUUUUUCACACCUCGAGGUAAUCAGUGAGGAGGUGAGGAAGUCGUGGUAUUGCAAGGCGAAGAUAUACUAGUAGCUGACCUGGAAGUUCCGGUUUACCUUAGAAGUGUUUGUGAACCCGUGAUAGCAGCCGCUAAGGUUUGGAGGAGAGCGAUCAAGGGGACGGUACUAGGAAUUCCCCUUUGUCUUUCCGCCACAGGGAAGGUGGCUUUAGGAGUGAGUGAUGUUCGUCCGGACAAUAACUAGAAAAUGUUUCGCAGAUCCUUUGGCACUACUGUCAGACGAGUCUUGAGAAAAAUCUGUCCAAUUCUCAUCCCCGCUGAAACC
rnacentral:lncRNA from 1 species